UACGGAGGGUGCGAGCGUUGUCCGGAAUCACUGGCGUAAAGGGCGCGUAGGUGGCCUGUGGAAGUCUGCGGUGAAAGCCCGGCGCUCAACUCCAGAACUGCCUUUGAUACUGAAGAUCGUUGAGUUCGGGAGAGGUGAGUGGAACUGCGAGUGUAGAGGUGAAAUUCGUAGAUAUUCGCGAAAGAACACCAGUGGCGAAGGCGGCUCACUGGCCCGAGUACUGACGCUGAGGCACGGAAAGCGUGGGGAGCCAAACAGG
rnacentral:rRNA from 1 species